rnacentral:rRNA from 1 species
GAUGAACGCUGGCGGCGUGCCUAACACAUGCAAGUCGAACGGAGUCCAGCCUUAGAGACCUUCGGGUCAAAGAGGGGAAGCCUGAGUGGCGGACGGGUGAGUAACACGUGGGCAACCUGGCUCAUAGAGGGGGAUAACAGAGAGAAAUUUCUGCUAAUACCGCAUAAGCACACACUGCCGCAUGGCAGAGUGUGAAAAGAGAAUCGCUAUGAGAUGGACCCGCGUCUGAUUAGCCAGUUGGCAGGGUAAGAGCCUACCAAAGCGACGAUCAGUAGCCGAUUUGAGAGGAUGAACGGCCACAUUGGGACUGAGACACGGCCCAAACUCCUACGGGAGGCAGCAGUGGGGGAUAUUGCACAAUGGGGGGAACCCUGAUGCAGCGACGCCGCGUGAGUGAAGAAGUAUUUCGGUAUGUAAAGCUCUAUCAGCAGGGAAGAUAAUGGCAGUACCUGAAUAAGAAGCCCCGGCUAACUACGUG